rnacentral:rRNA from 1 species
CUGUAUGGCCAUACUACGUUAAAAACACGCCAUCCCUUCUGAUAUGGUAAGCUGAGCAAUGUUAGGCCUGGUAAGUACUUGAAUUGGAUGCUACUUCACUUUGCACAAAGGAAAUCAGCUGUUCUAGUAA